UACAGAGGUCUCAAGCGUUGUUCGGAUUCAUUGGGCGUAAAGGGUGCGUAGGUGGCGCGGAAAGUCGGGUGUGAAAUUUCGGAGCUUAACUCCGAAACUGCAUUCGAUACUGCCGUGCUUGAGGACUGGAGAGGAGACUGGAAUUUACGGUGUAGCAAUGAAAUGCGUAGAGAUCGUAAGGAAGACCAGUGGCGAAGGCGGGUCUCUGGACAGUUCCUGACACUGAGGCACGAAGGCCAGGGGAGCAAACGGG
rnacentral:rRNA from 1 species